CUUACCUCAGGUGUUUUACCUCAGAUUUUGGAAAGUCAAGGCUCAAUGAUACUUUUUAAGCCUCUACAGGAUUAAAUGUAUAGAUCUUACAACCCAGAGCUGUUUAACACUUGCUUCUAGUGUGUUUCAGAAAGCUUCACAUGUGAGAUAAAUGCACUCAAAGACUCCUCACAAGUAGCUCUUUGGAGCUUCAGAUGUGAAAUGGAUCAUUCCUCAAUCUGUAAUAGACCCUUCUGUGAAGCUCUUCAAUCAAACCUGAGAAUUCAAGGCAUUUUGUAGCAUCCUAAACAGAAAGAUAUUGAAGGGAGCUGAUUCUGCUUUGAUCCUUGCGCUUGUUGUCAAAGCGCUUGGGAUUGAAGAGACUGUUGGCUACAAUUGACUGUGACAAUUAGGAGAUGAUCAGAGCCCUAGAGUGGAGCACUUAAAGGGUUUGCAUUUAAAACACUCUUGGAGAACUAAUUGUAUAAAAUUCUGGUAACUGCACAUUCACUUUUUAGAGAGGUAAUGAGCGAGUGAAUGAAAAGGCAGGGAUUAUUUGCCAUUCUAAGAGCUGGGAUUGUCAGAACAUUUCUACUUGACUGAAAUUGUUUUGGAAGGAGAGAGAUGGCUUAAUCCCGUAUCGUUUUGGGCUAUCCAGAACCCUCGGCCUGGAAGAUGGUAGGAGAAUUUUGGCUUCAGAGAACGGGACUGGCUUUGUCUUCUCCAGUGCUACAAACUCAGUGCCUAGCAAAGUGCUUUGAAUGUAGAAUACCUUCCUGGCAAAUAAGCGAGUAUGUAAGCAAGCAGACUCAACAGCUUUCUUGGAAGGAGUCAGCCGCUGCAGGGGGCAUCUCGCAUAAUGGAAGAACAUCCUUAAAUAGAAAAAUCUCGAUUCAGGAAAAUUUAAAAAAAAAAAAAGAAAAGAAAAGAAAAGAAAGAAAGAAAAGCUCUAGCCAUGGUGACACUGUGAGAAAUGAAUGUCAAGUUCUCCUGGGUUGCUAGAAUGUUUGCACAAGGCAGCAGUGAAGAAACAAGGGAGGAGACUCCGCAUGCCCAUGAAGAUGCUGUGGUCCUGAAGGUGCCGGCCUUGAAUUAUGUAGAAGGGAGUGAUGGAGCUUUUUGGAUUGGUCCCAUUCUGCUUUGGGCUACUGUGGCUUUCAGUGUGCGGUUCAGUUCAUUGGCACCAGAUACCGAAGAAACGAAGGUCAAGGGUGUGAGCCUCACUUGGGCCAGGAGGCUGCGUACUUUUCCAACAGGUUGUGUGGCGAUUCAGUCUGGUCACGGUAGAAAUGCUGGCCUGAAAGGGGGCUGGUGAACAUGUGAGUGAUUGGGUGAAAAGCCAGCCCCAUUCCCGGAAAAGCAAAGCCGGAGCCCUACUGUCAUUUUUCCAACUGGAGAGAAUGUACCACUUAAAAUGUGAGCUUGUUACUCAACCUCCCUGUGUCUCUGUGUCCUCAUCUGGAGAAUGGAGAUAAGAUUUGCUUGCUUUCUACCUCACCAGGAUCUGAGAAGAUUAGAUAAUGGCUAUAAAGUCCUUCUACAAAGGUAUGAGCAUUAUCAUAAACAAGGAGAUUAGUCAACAAAUAAAGAAAAAAUUUUCUUAAAGGACCUCCCAAAGUGUGUUACCUAAUCAUUUUUUGAUUCAAUAUCAGUAGUUUGCAGUCUCCCCCCCCACCCCUUUCGAAUUUGGUUUAGCUGCAAAAAGUUAGGUGUGAAUGUUUGACCUUUCUAGUUGUUUAGAAGGUGAAAACAUUGUUUGAUAGCAAAAAUGUCUAUUAAUCAAAACAAAGUGGGCUUUGAAUCCGACACAGGUUUUCUUUGAAAAAGGAGGUGAGGGCAAGCGUCUCUAGGAACAUACAUGCCACUGAGGAAUAUUUGCAUGCAUUUGAUCUGCAAGCGCGCUUCGGUGAUUUUCACAGUCUACCUUGGAGUUUAAGUUGUCGCCGUCGCUCAGCGGCACCAUCCUCUCUCUCCAGCUUUAUUAUGGCACACAGCGACAACUUCAUUUUUAGCAUUAAAAAAAAAAUCCUCUUCACUUAAUUCAGACAGUGACCUGCAGGCCUCAUUCUGACUGAAGGAGCCAUUCAGAAUACUUGCAGACAAAAGCAGGGCUUUUUCCUAGCAACCAGAUCAAAGCCAAAUCUCCCAGAAUAGCUCCCUCCCAGGUUUUCUUUGGCGCAUAGGUUCACAAGGCUCGUGGUAUCCAGUUCAAACUACUCUUUCAAACUGAAAUGGAAAGGAAAACUCCUGAGGAAUUUUCGCAGACUCUGAAAACUGGCGAGCGUUGCGAGGGCACUUAAUCUUGGGAGAACACGGUGGUCAUUUGGAGCAUCCCUAACUUUGUUAUCGCCGCAUCUGCAUGAACAUUCUGUCGGACUUCCACAGAAUGAGGUCUCUGUUUCCUUUCUGCCAGUACCUAAUAUCAGCUAUGCCCAGGAGCCGGCUGAUGAAGACUUCCUGUUUGUUUUGAGUCACUGUUAGAGUGAUAAAUAUACUUUAGCUUUCUGCUUCAAGAGGAAAGAAACCAGCUGCCCUGAACUACAGAGAAAAAUGCAGAAAUUCCACUGAAUGGCCCUGUUAUCAUGGAGCUUCAAGGGCAGCAUCAAAAUGAAAACUAUAAGCCAGGGCAAAGUAAAUAAUUUCCAUAUUAAAGCAUCGUGCUGCAUGCUUGGACCUAAGUUGUUUGUCUUUAAUCAUUUAGGCGAGCGUUGCAUUUUUCACUCUUCUAAGGCCAACUCAGCGAUGUUUAGAGAUUUUUGAAAAUGUAAACUUACGCUACAGAAUAAUGGUGAGCUAUAUAAAUAAACAAUUAUAGUUGUGGUUUUUUGAUCUGACCACAAGCUUUUAAUGCCAUUUUUGCAUGAGCAUAUAAUGCUUCUGGAUAAAUGAUAAUGUUUAUAUUGUCAGUGGCAUCUACUGUUGUACUGAGUCAUUUACAUAUGUGAUUAUUUGGAUAUAGAGUAAUGCAAGAACAAAAGAACACUAUAAAAUGAUUGAAAACAAGACCAACAGGAAAUCCUUUAUAGCUUAAAUAGCACUUCUUAAAUAAAGCCAUGGAGUUUUUGUGUUUUGA